rfam:Oryza glumipatula chromosome 5, whole genome shotgun sequence.
ACACAGUUUUAUACUAUUCAUUCAUAUCCAACGUUUAACUGUUCGUCUUAUUUAAAAUCUUUUUAUGAUUAGUAUUUUUAUUGUUAUUAGUAUAUGAUAAAACAUAAAAAAAUACUUUAUAUGUCACUAAUUUUUUUUAUUUUUUCCAUAAACUUUUCAAAUAAGACGGACGGUUAAAUGUUAGACAUGGAUUCUCACGAUCACGCUUAUU